CACUGCCGGGUGCCCUCGGUGCCUCAGGUGCCACGGAGGAAGCCGGUGCCACCGUCGCCCAUCAGCGCUGCUGGGGGCCUUCGUUCCAGUGAGUGGUGCCGCCACCUACCAGCCUCGCAGACCGGAGCGCUGCUCCCUGCCUCCGGAGCGCUGCUCCCUGCCUGCGUGGGGGGCAGCUCCUUGGAUGGCUUACUAUUGGGGUGACGCCCCCCCUGCCUCUCCUAGCCGUAACCUCCCUGUGUCUCGGG